rnacentral:tRNA from 1 species
GGCCCCAUCGUCUAGUGGUCAGGACGCCGGGUUCUCAUCCCGGUAACCGGGGUUCGAGUCCCCGUGGGGUCACCA